GAAGCGUAUUUAGACGCCUAAGCGCGGUUUAACCAAAACCCAUGGAGGUGGAGGAGCCCUGUGGCCGUUCAGAUACAGAAUGCAGACCCUCGUGGUUUUCACUUUCAUCGUUCCACAACAUCUGCACGUGUUUUAUUGACAGAGAAACGGACUGUUUGGUUGUUUGAGGUUGAGGAUGGAAUUGGAGAUUCAUUGGGGCUUCUCUGCGGUACCGGCAGAUCGCGGGUGAAGGAAGCGUGGCUCGGAGUCCAAAUACAGCCAGCCCCGGGACUUCUGUAAUGUAGCGCUGACCACGUUCACCUUUCAAAUGGCUGUGCCAGACAUCUCAGCAUACCAGGCUCAGUCUCGACCGAGCCUGCCCAUGCUGCGUCCCUGCAUUACAGAAAGUCAGGUUAUCCAAUAUGUAUAUUGCAGUGGGUCCUGGAGGCCCCAGUCAGCACGGUCCCUGCUCCAUCAAUAUGGCACGUUGCAUGCUAGCACUGUUGGCCUCUACACACCCCACUGCUGCACUAGCAGUAGGGGCAGCUGAAAUCACCUCCAAUGUGGUGUGUGACUACUUUAGAUGCCAACGAUCUUAACUGCACACGGUCCCUUCACUUCUUAUGCCCCCUGGAAGCUGGGGUAAGCCCAGUACACACCUCCCAAAGGAUGGAUCGCUCUGGUCCGGUGCACGCAGGCAAGCUGUGCCAAGAAGCUGUGGACAAACAGGGGACAGUUUUGUUCCCACUCAGGACAGGAAUGGCAGGAUCGCCAGAUGCAGGAAAGGUGAAGGAUGCAGGAAGGGUGAGGCUGUGUGACUUAGAAGCCAGGAAAGGAAGUGCACUGCAUUCUUAGAGAGUCAUUCAUUAAUGUAAUCAACUCCUAGGCUAUACCUCUCUUCAGACCCCAUGCCAGCCUUGAGAGAAACUGUGUGCGUGCAAGAACUGACCCCUCUGCCUUUGGGGUAGUUCGCUCUCAUUUGAAGGCUCUUGAUUUCCAAUACACCCAACAAGGCCCCUCGUCCGGAUUAAGCAGAUUCCACUCAGCUGGUAAAUUACCUUCUGUCCGACAGGCAGGCCGCAACCUGAUAAUUUUAUCUCCAAGGGCUUGUUUAAUAUUUAAGUGACCAAAUGCUGCCUAUGUUAGACUUUCCCACUGAGGUCUCAGAGGGAUUUUGCUGGGUGAAUGCUCUGAAAUGUAAGGGUGGGGGGAUAGUAAGGGGACCCUGGUCUCCCCUU
rnacentral:lncRNA from 1 species